rnacentral:rRNA from 1 species
CCUCGUCAGACGAACGCUGGCGGCGUGCCUAAUACAUGCAAGUCGAACGAACUCUGGUAUUGAUUGGUGCUUGCAUCAUGAUUUACAUUUGAGUGAGUGGCGAACUGGUGAGUAACACGUGGGAAACCUGCCCAGAAGCGGGGGAUAACACCUGGAAACAGAUGCUAAUACCGCAUAACAACUUGGACCGCAUGGUCCGAGUUUGAAAGAUGGCUUCGGCUAUCACUUUUGGAUGGUCCCGCGGCGUAUUAGCUAGAUGGUGGGGUAACGGCUCACCAUGGCAAUGAUACGUAGCCGACCUGAGAGGGUAAUCGGCCACAUUGGGACUGAGACACGGCCCAAACUCCUACGGGAGGCAGCAGUAGGGAAUCUUCCACAAUGGACGAAAGUCUGAUGGAGCAACGCCGCGUGAGUGAAGAAGGGUUUCGGCUCGUAAAACUCUGUUGUUAAAGAAGAACAUAUCUGAGAGUAACUGUUCAGGUAUUGACGGUAUUUAACCAGAAAGCCACGGCUAACUACGUGCCAGCAGCCGCGGUAAUACGUAGGUGGCAAGCGUUGUCCGGAUUUAUUGGGCGUAAAGCGAGCGCAGGCGGUUUUUUAAGUCUGAUGUGAAAGCCUUCGGCUCAACCGAAGAAGUGCAUCGGAAACUGGGAAACUUGAGUGCAGAAGAGGACAGUGGAACUCCAUGUGUAGCGGUGAAAUGCGUAGAUAUAUGGAAGAACACCAGUGGCGAAGGCGGCUGUCUGGUCUGUAACUGACGCUGAGGCUCGAAAGUAUGGGUAGCAAACAGGAUUAGAUACCCUGGUAGUCCAUACCGUAAACGAUGAAUGCUAAGUGUUGGAGGGUUUCCGCCCUUCAGUGCUGCAGCUAACGCAUUAAGCAUUCCGCCUGGGGAGUACGGCCGCAAGGCUGAAACUCAAAGGAAUUGACGGGGGCCCGCACAAGCGGUGGAGCAUGUGGUUUAAUUCGAAGCUACGCGAAGAACCUUACCAGGUCUUGACAUACUAUGCAAAUCUAAGAGAUUAGACGUUCCCUUCGGGGACAUGGAUACAGGUGGUGCAUGGUUGUCGUCAGCUCGUGUCGUGAGAUGUUGGGUUAAGUCCCGCAACGAGCGCAACCCUUAUUAUCAGUUGCCAGCAUUAAGUUGGGCACUCUGGUGAGACUGCCGGUGACAAACCGGAGGAAGGUGGGGAUGACGUCAAAUCAUCAUGCCCCUUAUGACCUGGGCUACACACGUGCUACAAUGGAUGGUACAACGAGUUGCGAACUCGCGAGAGUAAGCUAAUCUCUUAAAGCCAUUCUCAGUUCGGAUUGUAGGCUGCAACUCGCCUACAUGAAGUCGGAAUCGCUAGUAAUCGCGGAUCAGCAUGCCGCGGUGAAUACGUUCCCGGGCCUUGUACACACCGCCCGUCACACCAUGAGAGUUUGUAACACCCAAAGUCGGUGGGGUAACCUUUUAGGAACCAGCCGCCUAAGGUGGGACAGAUGAUUAGGGUGAAUCUAA